CUUCCUUUAUUUCAGGGACUACAGCAGUCUGAUGGUCAUUACACAAUAAUUCUGUCAUUUUUACACAUUAUUCUUUCUGUGCUGUAGUCAGAGAGUCUAGUUUAAUGACCCGUGUAUGUUUUAGUGCUCCAAACUGUGUAAGUGUGUGUUUCUGACUAAAACUGGUCCAUGUGACCAUCAGAAUACAUCUUACUGCUAAUAGACCAAUCAAAUCAGUCCACAGCUUCAAAACAUCCAAUCAGGUGUGAGUCUGGACCUGGUUUUGUACUGAACACACAAGUUCAUUAGAUCACUUGGUGUGAACAGGAACGAUGAUCAGACUCUUUAUCGCUCUUUGUGCUCUUUUUUCUCUCUUCACAGCUGAGAAAACUUCUGACAUCAAGGAGUUUGAUGUGAUAACAGUAAAGCAUGGAGAAAAUGUAACUAUGAAGUGUAACAUUAGCAUUGACACAAAGAAAGAUUUAGUUUGGUACAGACAGAGUUCAGGAAAAUUACCUCAUCGUUUUGCAAAACCAUACUCGAAUGAUUUAGGCUACAAAUUUGAUGAUGGAUUUUAUUAUGCUCGUUUCAGUAUUAGUGUAAAUGACAAUAAAUUUGAUCUCAAUAUUAAACAAACAAGAGAAGAUGAUGAAGGAGAAUAUUUCUGUGGAGAAAUGGAAGGAAGUGUAGUGAAGUUCACAUCUGGAACACGUCUGCAAUUUGAAGAUAAAGUGACGACACACAGCAAUAUAUCUGGAACUACACACAGAGAUUCACACAGCUGCAAUGAAACAAGUGAGAGCUGUACUGCUAACAUGCGUGUGUUCUUCUGGCUCUCCAUUUCAAGAAUCGGAGUUCUCAGUGUUACAGUUAUUAUAAUUACAAUAUGGUACAAGGUUUUAAAAUCAAGAUCUUAAACUUGAUAUAAUUGUCUUUUAACUGUUGUCUGUGUCGCUCUAACUGUGUUUUCAAGUACAUGACAUUUAUUAUUUUUUUUAUUUUACUCCAGUGUGUGUGUGUGUGUGUGUGUUAGAGUGAGUGUGUGUAUGUGCUUGUGUGUGUGUGUGUGUGUGUGUGUGUGUGUGCGUGUGUGUGUGUGUGUGAGUGUGGGUGUGGGAGUGAAUGUUCAUUUACAUUGAUCUAGAAAACUGGAUUAAAAACUAAUGUCUGAACUGAUAUUGUUCAGGGUUUGCUUUGAUUCUGCUGAACCUUCAUGAACAGUGCAAUAAAAUUAGACUUUAAGAUC